CGUGCAGAGCUCUCCAAUAUUGACUAGACUUUUCACAGAUAAAUAUCAUAAUGACAAGAUAAGAUUCAGAGAAAAAACCAUUCCUGAGGUUGUCACUGAAUUCUUGUCUGCCUAAAGUCAUGGCCGAAUCACUCAUUGUUGCAGUUGCAGAAUCACUUAUAACGAAGUUCGCUUCUCGAGCUGUCGAACAAGCUUCUUUGGCGUUGGGUGUGUACCAAGAGCUACAGCAGAUGAAAAAGACCAUGGCACUGGUCAAAGCAUUCCUGUUAGACGCUGAGCAAAAGAAGCAGCAGAACAAUGCCCUGAGUGAGUGGCUAAGACAGAUCAGGCAGGUAUUCGCCCACGCGGAAGACAUAGUCGACAACUUUGAAUGCGAAGUAUUGCGGAAGCACGUUGUCAGCUCGCACGGCAGCUUCUGCAGGAAGGUAUGUCGUUUGUUUUCAACUAGUAAUCCUGUGGUUUACCGUUACAGAAUGGGGCGUGAGAUAAAAGACAUCAAGAAGCAGUUAGAGAAGGUUGCAACUGAUGGCCACAUGUUUGGUCUUCAAAGCAGUGACAAGGAUACCAAGGUUUUGAAUGCGAGGGAAAUGACUCAUUCACAUGUGAAUGUCUCAAAUGUGGUAGGAAGAGAACAUGAUAAGCAGAAGAUAAUAGAGCUUUUGCUGCAAGAUGAUCAUCAUGACAGAAGUCUCUCAGUGAUUUCCAUUGUGGGAUUUGGAGGCUUGGGAAAGACCACUCUUGCAAAGGUAGUGUUCAAUGACACUAGCAUUGAGGAAUGUUUCACUUUGAAGAUGUGGGUGUGUGUCUCUAAUGAUUUCGAACUUAGGAAUGUCCUUAUUAAAAUCCUAAACUCUGCUCCUAACGCCACCAAUGAGAAGUUCAAAAAUUUAGACACGGAUCAACUUCAAAUUCGUUUGAGAAGUAGCCUUCAACGUGAGAAGUUCUUGCUCGUCUUAGACGAUGUGUGGAACGAGAAUCGUGUUAAAUGGGAUGAGUUGAAGGAAAUUAUAGAGACGGUAGGUAACAAAGGAAGUAAAAUCUUGGUGACUACUCGUAGUCACUCAAUAGAUGCCAUGAUGCGCACUAAAUUCUCUAACUCUUACAUUCUAAAAGGCCUUUCUGAGGAGGAUUCCAUGUCUCUGUUUGUCAAAUCUGCUUUUGAUGAUGGAGAAGGGAAAAACCAUCCAGAGUUAAUGGAGAUUGGGAGACAAAUUGUGAGAAAAUGUGGAGGAAUACCAUUGGCGGUGAGAACCUUAGGAAGCUCACUGUUCUCAAGGGUGGAUCGAAAAGAGUGGGAGAAUAUAAGAGACAAUGAAAUUUGGAACUUAAAACAAAAUGAAAAUGAUAUUUUGCCUGCUCUUGAGUUAAGUUAUGAUCAACUACCUUCGCAUUUGAAACGAUGUUUUGCUUGCUUUUCUCUUGCCUCGAAGGACUUUGAUGUUUCUAGUUCUUACGUUGCUCUGCUGUGGGAGGCACUUGGUUUUCUUUCCCCACCAAAGCAAAAUGAAACAACACAUGAUGUUGCUAAUGAAUAUUUGCGUGAGCUAUGGUCAAGAUCUUUUCUCACAGAUUUUCUAGACAUGGGGAGCACAUGCAGAUUUAAAUUACAUGAUUUAGUCCGUGAUCUUGCAGUGUACGUAGCCAAAGGUGAGUUUCAAAUAUUGUAUCCCCACAGUACAAGUAUAUCUGAGCAUGCCCAACACUUGUCAUUCAUUGAAAAUGAUAUGCUUGGCCAAGAUCUCGUUCCCAUAGGUGCAAGAACUAUAAUUUUUCCCAUGGAAGCUACUAAUGAUGCUUUCUUGAAUACGUUGGUAUCCAGGUGCAAAUACCUCAGAGUUCUAGACUUGAGUUAUUCUGAAUACGAGAGUUUGCCUAGCUGCAUUGGAAAGUUGAAACAUUUAAGAUAUCUCAAUCUUUCAGGUAAUAAAAAACUUAAGGGACUCCCAGAUUCCUUAUGCAAACUCCAAAAUUUACAAACUUUGGACCUAAGAGGUUGUAUAAAGCUGCAAAAUCUGCCCAAAGGAAUAAGAAAGUUAGUCAGCCUUCGUCGGCUGCUUGUAACCACUAGGCAACCAGAUUUUCCAGACAAAGAGAUUUCAAAAUUGGCUUCUAUAGAAACAGUAGAACUCUAUUCUUGUGAUAAUUUGGAGUCAUUGUUCCAAGCUAUACAACCUAGAAGUCUUAAGUUUUUGCAUCUUUCUGGUUGUGGGGGUUUAAAGUCUCUGUCCUUUCAUGUCAUUACAAAUUUAGAGAGUUUGGUUAUCUUCAAAUGCAGUAAGAUGGAAUUGUCAAUGGGCCUUAGCAACCUUAAUUCCAUUCCUGAUUCAAGGUUAAAAUUACUUGUUCUUCAAAGUUUGCCACAGUUGGUCACUUUGCCUGAGUGGUUGCAAGGAUCUGUGAACACACUGCAUUCCUUGUUACUUGUUGACUGCAACAAUCUUGAGGAGCUUCCUGAGUGGAUGUCAACUUUGACCUCUCUCAAACUACUUAUAAUUGAACAUUGUCCAAGGCUAAUCUCACUCCCUGAUAGCACGCAUCACCUCCGAAACCUUGAACAUUUGGAAAUCAAUGAUUGUCCUGAAUUAUGCAAAAGAUGUCAGCCAGGAGUUGGACUGGAUUGGCACAAAAUAUCCCACAUCAAAGAAGUUAUCAUUGGUGAACCAGAAGAGUAGAAGGAACUCUUGAAUGACACAGUCAAAAAGUUUAAGUUUGAUUGCAGUGGUGGAAGAUACUAAAAAUAUCAUUUUAGAUCCAUUUCUUUUGUUCAUGCUGCGGUUAGGAGUCAGUACACACAUUAUCUCUCAAUUAUAUAUUAAUUGAAAAAGGUGUUCUUCUGCCUCCUGAGGAUCUAAGACUUUCAGUUUGGGAAGAUUUUUAAAAAGGCUUUAAAAAUUUGACCUACAAACUCCAGCAGAUUUCUUGCUGGAGGUGGUUGGGGUAAAGAAAUUACCUGAUGGACUUCACGCGGGUUCAAACAUUGUAGUUUUGUGGCCUCCACCGUCAUCCCCGACGAGGAAGAAA